AUUCCACACAGGAAGGUCACACCAUCCCCCACUGUUACAAGAGUGGAGAACCAAUCGAUGUAGAAUUUGAGGUUAAAGCAGAAGAAGUGCGUGACGAUCAGCAGUCUAUGGAGGAAUAUUUAUUAACGGGGACAUUUCUAGAGGAGGACACAGAGAUCAGUACAGUAGAUGGACGGGAGAUGAGGAAAACCUCAGAGGAUUGU